UACAGAGGUCCCGAGCGUUGUUCGGAUUCAUUGGGCGUAAAGGGUGCGUAGGCGGCGGGGCAAGUCUGAUGUGAAAUCCCGGGGCUCAACCCCGGAACUGCAUUGGAUACUGCCUUGCUCGAGUACUGGAGAGGGAACUGGAAUUUACGGUGUCGCAGUGAAAUGCGUAGAGAUCGUAAGGAAGGCCAGUGGCGAAGGCGAGUUCCUGGACAGUUACUGACGCUGAGGCACGAAGGCCAGGGGAGCAAACGGG
rnacentral:rRNA from 1 species